rnacentral:rRNA from 1 species
GUUUAGUUUUGUAAAAAACUGACAACAAAUCCGAUCCCAUCUGAUCUCUGAAGCCAAGCAGGGUUGGGCCUGGUUAGUACUUGGAUGGGAGACCACCUAGCAAGACCAGGUGCUGUAGGCA